GGAGGGUGCAAGCGUUAAUCGGAAUCACUGGACGUAAAGCGUACGUAGGCGGCGCAUCAAGUCAGGCGUGAAAGCCCUCGGCUCAACCGAGGAAUUGCGUUUGAAACUGGUGUGCUUGAGUCUCGGAGAGGUUGGCGGAAUUCCAGGUGUAGGAGUGAAAUCCGUAGAUAUCUGGAGGAACACCGGUGGCGAAGGCGGCCAACUGGACGAGUACUGACGCUGAGGUACGAAAGCGUGGGGAGCAAACAGGAUUAGAUACCCUGGUAGUCCACGCUGUAAACGAUGGAUAUUAGGUGUCGGGSUAACGCUUCGGUGCCGUAGUUAACGCGUUAAAUAUCCCGCCUGGGG
rnacentral:rRNA from 1 species